CGGACGGGUGAGUAACACGUGAGCAACCUGCCCUUCAGAGGGGGAUAACGUUUGGAAACGAACGCUAAUACCGCAUGAAAUAUCCCGAUGGCAUCGUUGGGAUAUCAAAGGAGGAAUCCGCUGAAGGAUGGGCUCGCGGCCGAUUAGAUAGUUGGUGAGGUAACGGCCCACCAAGUCGACGAUCGGUAGCCGGACUGAGAGGUUGAACGGCCACAUUGGGACUGAGACACGGCCCAGACUCCUACGGAAGGCAGCAG
rnacentral:rRNA from 1 species